GAUGAACGCUAGCGACAGGCUUAACACAUGCAAGUCGAGGGGCAGCGGGGGUGCAGGCUUGCCUGCACCUGCCGGCGACCGGCGCACGGGUGAGUAACACGUAUGGAACCUGCCCGCCACAGGGGGAUAACCCGGGGAAACCCGGCCUAAUACCCCAUGCCGCCCGGACCGGGCAUCCGGUCCGGGCGAAAGGAGUAAUCCGGUGGCGGCUGGGCAUGCGGCGCAUUAGCUUGACGGCGGGGUAACGGCCCACCGUGGCGACGAUGCGUAGGGGUUCUGAGAGGAAGGUCCCCCACACUGGUACUGAGACACGGACCAG
rnacentral:rRNA from 1 species